GAAGGGCAGAUGUGCCACUACAGUGGCUCUUUUAUGGGGCCCUGUGUGCAAAUUACACCUGUCACACAGCCACUCCAGCUCUGAGGGAUAAAUGCAUUUGAGUGGUGGUGCCUGGGUGUUGCUCGUGUUUCACUUUGGAUGGAUCUGAAGGUUAAGGCGCUUGGAGCUGCAGGAAGUGCCACCCAAACCUGACUGCUUUUGAGUAACAGGAGAAGAAUAGGCAGUGACAACUGAUGGAAGAGGAAUUUGAGCAUCUGGAACAGGAGACAGGGAAAUAAAUUGCUUUAAUUCAGCCAGGGAUGUGAAGAGCUGCUCUUCAUCAUGGAAGAAGUAGACGUUUAGCAUUUUUUGUGAAGCUGCUGCUGGACACCUUCCACCCUGACCUGGCAGCGCUCAGAUUGCUGCUCCUGAAAUACAGAGAGGAAUAAAAUCUGAUGCUCUGGGGGAUGUUCCCCUGGGCAUCAUGCUAAGCUCUAGCAGGAUCAGACUGUUGCAUUGAUGCAAGUGAUGGGAAAAGGCACGGUGAUGUAUUUUAAAUCACUUUCCGGAAGAGCGUAUUGACAGGUCCUUAAUAAAUGCUAA